CGAUAUGGGGCCGUCAUCGGUUCGGUGCAGGGCUCAGACCUGCCCCGAAGAAAUAGGGAAUGCGGUGAGGUGUAGCCAUCAGGCGCCGAACCCGCAGCUGCCCCCGCAACUGUGAGCGGAGAGUGACACCGAAGAAGCCACUGGGGCCCUGCAUGGCCCUGGGAAGGUCGGUGGAACGACGACCCGCGAGCCAGGAAACCUGCCGAGGACUCGUGGCCGCG
rnacentral:ncRNA from 2 species